GCGGGGCAUGUCCGACAACGAGCGGGCGAGCGGCGGUCGGAAUCGGAAGUCAGGCGUGCGGCCAGCUCCGCAUCCCUUCAUCCUCGGCACGAAUGAGCCCCGAGUCCCUCCAUCUCCGCAUCAGCUACCUGGCGGGCUUAGACGUCAAGGUAGGUUGUGGUGGUUCCUUUCUUUUUUUCUUCAGAUUUGUUGGUUAGCAUACUCCCUUUAGGUCGACGGAAUAAGGAUCUGGGGCGGGAGGUUCAAUCCUUAUCUGACGCAGUACAUCAAAAAUCUAAAUCCACGAGCUAAUCCUGAUGCUAGUCACUAAUCGGGAGCUGUAGCACAUGAGAAAUCCAAAUCCACUGGACACGCUGCCGGCAGCGCACGAGCGAUUCCUCUUCCUAGCUCGUCCAACAGGUCCUUCCCCUUGAACGAGGUGCGGAAAGAGCCUGCCCAGGAUUGCUCAGGUGCAGAGGUUCCAUGUCGCUGAUGUGCAUGUCUGAAGGCAACAGAAGAAAUUUCAUGGCCAUUUCUACAGCAAAGCCAUGGAACAUCACUAGAGUUGUGGUCGGUGGGUGGGUGGGUUUGGUGGCGGCCUGGCCAGUGGGUGGAAUGGUGGCGCAGUGAGUGCCGUUUUCCUUGUCGGGCGGCACGGCGGGUGGUGGCUGCAGACCGUUCACGCCCAUGGAUG